AGGUAAGCUACUAAGAGCGAAUGGUGGAUGCCUUGACUGGUAAAGGCGAUGAAGGACGUACUAGACUGCGAUAAGCUACGGGGAGCUGUCAAGAAGCUUUGAUCCGUAGAUUUCCGAAUGGGGCAACCCAAUGUAUAGAGAUAUACAUUACCUAUAUAGGAGCAAACGAGGGGAAUUGAAACAUCUUAGUACCCUCAGGAAAAGAAAUCAAUAGAGAUUGCGUCAGUAGCGGCGAGCGAAAGCGCAAGAGGGCAAACCCAGUGCUUGCACUGGGGGUUGUAGGACUGCAAUGUGCAAGAGGUGAGUUUAGCAGAACAUUCUGGAAAGUAUAGCCAUAGAGGGUGAUAGUCCCGUAUGCGAAAAACAAACCUUAGCUAGCAGUAUCCUGAGUAGGGCGGGACACGAGAAAUCCUGUCUGAAGCUGGGUCGACCACGAUCCAACCCUAAAUACUAAUACCAGAUCGAUAGUGCACAAGUACCGUGAGGGAAAGGUGAAAAGAACUGAGGUGAUCAGAGUGAAAUAGAACCUGAAACCAUUUGCUUACAAUCAUUCAGAGCCCUAUGUAGCAAUACAGGGUGAUGGACUGCCUUUUGCAUAAUGAGCCUGCGAGUUGUGGUGUCUGGCAAGGUUAAGCAAACGCGAAGCCGUAGCGAAAGCGAGUCUGAAUAGGGCGCUUAGUCAGAUGCUGCAGACCCGAAACGAAGUGAUCUAUCCAUGAGCAAGUUGAAGCUAGUGUAAGAACUAGUGGAGGACUGAACCCAUAGGCGUUGAAAAGCCCCGGGAUGACUUGUGGAUAGGGGUGAAAGGCCAAUCAAACUUCGUGAUAGCUGGUUCUCUCCGAAAUAUAUUUAGGUAUAGCGUUGUGUCGUAAUAUAAGGGGGUAGAGCACUGAAUGGGCUAGGGCAUACACCAAUGUACCAAACCCUAUCAAACUCCGAAUACCUUAUAUGUAAUCACAGCAGUCAGGCGGCGAGUGAUAAAAUCCGUCGUCAAGAGGGAAACAACCCAGACUACCAGCUAAGGUCCCUAAAUCUUACUUAAGUGGAAAACGAUGUGAAGUUACUUAAACAACCAGGAGGUUGGCUUAGAAGCAGCCAUCCUUUAAAGAAAGCGUAAUAGCUCACUGGUCUAGUGAUUUUGCGCGGAAAAUAUAACGGGGCUAAAGUAAGUACCGAAGCUGUAGACUUGCGCACAACUUAGAUUAUUUAAGUUUAGAAUAUGAGAAACUAAGUUAUAUGUUUAGUUAUAUUUUUACUGAUUUUUAUAGAGUAAAGAUAGAAAUAAAACUUAGUAAAAUCAGUAAAAAUAUUCUUAGACUAAAGUUAAGUAGUUUAAGUUGUGUGCAAGUGGUAGGAGAGCGUUCUAUUUGCGUCGAAGGUAUACCGGUAAGGAGUGCUGGAGCGAAUAGAAGUGAGCAUGCAGGCAUGAGUAGCGAUAAUUAAUGUGAGAAUCAUUAACGCCGUAAACCCAAGGUUUCCUACGCGAUGCUCGUCAUCGUAGGGUUAGUCGGGUCCUAAGUCGAGUCCGAAAGGGGUAGACGAUGGCAAAUUGGUUAAUAUUCCAAUACCAACAUUAGUGUGCGAUGGAAGGACGCUUAGGGCUAAGGGGGCUAGCGGAUGGAAGUGCUAGUCUAAGGUCGUAGGAGGUUAUACAGGCAAAUCCGUAUAACAAUACUCCGAGAACUGAAAGGCUUUUUGAAGUCUUCGGAUGGAUAGAAGAACCCCUGAUGCCGUCGAGCCAAGAAAAGUUUCUAAGUUUAGCUAAUGUUGCCCGUACCGUAAACCGACACAGGUGGGUGGGAUGAGUAUUCUAAGGCGCGUGGAAGAACUCUCUUUAAGGAACUCUGCAAAAUAGCACCGUAUCUUCGGUAUAAGGUGUGGUUCGCUUCGUAUUAGGAUUUACUCCGAAAGCGAAGAAACUUACAACAAAGAGUCCCUCCCGACUGUUUACCAAAAACACAGCACUCUGCUAACUCGUAAGAGGAUGUAUAGGGUGUGACGCCUGCCCGGUGCUCGAAGGUUAAUUGAUGGGGUUAGCAUUAGCGAAGCUCUUGAUCGAAGCCCGAGUAAACGGCGGCCGUAACUAUAACGGUCCUAAGGUAGCGAAAUUCCUUGUCGGUUAAAUACCGACCUGCAUGAAUGGCGUAACGAGAUGGGAGCUGUCUCAAAGAGGGAUCCAGUGAAAUUGUAGUGGAGGUGAAAAUUCCUCCUACCCGCGGCAAGACGGAAAGACCCCGUGGACCUUUACUACAGCUUGACACUGCUAUUUGGAUAAGAAUGUGCAGGAUAGGUGGGAGGCUUUGAGUAUAUGACGCCAGUUGUAUAUGAGCCAUUGUUGAGAUACCACUCUUUCUUAUUUGGGUAGCUAACCAGCUUGAGUUAUCCUCAAGUGGGACAAUGUCUGGUGGGUAGUUUGACUGGGGCGGUCGCCUCCCAAAUAAUAACGGAGGCUUACAAAGGUUGGCUCAGAACGGUUGGAAAUCGUUCGUAGAGUAUAAAGGUAUAAGCCAGCUUAACUGCAAGACAUACAAGUCAAGC
rnacentral:rRNA from 1 species